rnacentral:rRNA from 1 species
UCGACGGCAGCACGGGAGCAAUCCUGGUGGCGAGUGGCGAACGGGUGAGUAAUGUAUCGGAACGUACCUUUCAGUGGGGGAUAACGUAGCGAAAGUUACGCUAAUACCGCAUAUUCUGUGAGCAGGAAAGCAGGGGAUCGCAAGACCUUGCGCUGAUUGAGCGGCCGAUAUCAGAUUAGCUAGUUGGUGAGGUAAAGGCUCACCAAGGCGACGAUCUGUAGCGGGUCUGAGAGGAUGAUCCGCCACACUGGAACUGAGACACGGUCCAGACUCCUACGGGAGGCAGCAGUGGGGAAUUUUGGACAAUGGGGGCAACCCUGAUCCAGCCAUGCCGCGUGAGUGAAGAAGGCCUUCGGGUUGUAAAGCUCUUUCAGCCGGGAAGAAAUCACAUGGGUUAAUACCCUGUGUGGAUGACGGUACCGGAAUAAGAAGCACCGGCUAACUACGUGCCAGCAGCCGCGGUAAUACGUAGGGUGCGAGCGUUAAUCGGAAUUACUGGGCGUAAAGCGUGCGCAGGCGGUUUGUUAAGAUAGGCGUGAAAUCCCCGGGCUCAACCUGGGAACUGCGUUUAUGACUGGCAGGCUAGAGUAUGGCAGAGGGGGGUGGAAUUCCACGUGUAGCAGUGAAAUGCGUAGAGAUGUGGAGGAACACCGAUGGCGAAGGCAGCCCCCUGGGCCAAUACUGACGCUCAUGCACGAAAGCGUGGGUAGCAAACAGGAUUAGAUACCCUGGUAGUCCACGCCCUAAACGAUGUCAACUAGGUGUUGGGUGGGUAAAACCAUUUAGUACCGGAGCUAACGC